CAAAGAAGGCGGGGGUGGGGGUAGCAGCAGAAGGAGCUACUCCCCGGCCGCUGCACAGUGACCAGAGCAGCCCGCGAUCAGAGCUCUGAACCCGACUAGUUCCUGGCUUCCUCUUCGGUUCCCUCCUCCUUCUGCAGCGACAACCCCCAGGGUCUCUCCGUAGAGCCUUCGAGAGCCCACGGUGGCCCGGGGCGCCGCGCCCUGACCCGCGCUCUAGGGUCGUGGAGGACUGCGCCCCAUCUGGGAAGACUGCGGCGCUAAGCCUCAAGUACCCCAGGGACACUGAGAAAUCGAAAAACGCGAGUCAGAGCAACUCCCGCCCCCCAGGAGCUGGGAACAAAGACCCCUUUGUUCCAGCUCUGUCCCUCUCCCGAGAGACCAGAGUCCCGUGGGUGUGGUGUCGUGGAGGGGAGGAGACAGGUCACUGCAGGUAACCCGCCUCCGCCUAGAACUUGGGAGGGGGAGGCACCCCACCGUGGUGUCCUAGGUAGCAAAGGCAGCCUGGGGCUCUGGAGGGAGGUGUCCCCCUUCAGGUGCACCUGCCAGCCCCAGCUCCAAGUCAGCUGAGUGCCUGCUACUCGGAUGAUGGGGUCUCUCCAGGUGUGAGGUUUGUGAACUCUCCUCGGCUCCGAAAGGAAUUUCAGAUAUCGUUCUCAUGAAGACAUCUUCCUUCACUGGUCUUGAGUUCCAGGAUCUCUAAGCUCAGCUCAAUCACUCACUGCUAUAAACAAUGAUGGACUUGCACAAAGGUAAGUAGCGUGAACAGCGAGCAGCUCUCAUACCCCAUUUACAUUCUGGAAAAAGUCAAGUACAGUGACUAUGUGGCAUGCUAUAUUGAAAAUACAUUUUGGUCCACUCAGGCUCAACAAGAAAGAGACUUAAAGAUCAGCUAGAGAUUUCUAACAUGGUCAUGGAAAAUUCUUGGUUUUAGAUCACAGUAGGAAACCUGACUUUGAUCACCGGGCAGCCAGUUUUUAAAAGGCACAUUUGUACUCAUCUGAGUGUUUCAAAGGAAAGCGAGGAGGCACUUACAGCCCUGUGAUCCACUGUCAUGGACUUCCUCCUUCGUCAAGGUGGUAAAAUUAUGUUGUGGUAUCAAAUAAAGACCAAUUCAGGCUUAAUCAACUAACUAAUGGAAUUAUUCCGCUACCCAGGGUAAGGGAAAGUCACUGCCUUAAACAGAGGCUUCCAUGGCCAUCCUUGAACAGAAAAACCAUCUGGAAGGUAACACACCUGCUUUCUGUUUCUCUUAAGGAUUACAUGUGUCACUUGUUUGAAGAGCUCAUUGACCAUAAAUCUCUGAGGGAGAGGGAAAGAAAGAAUGGGAGGAGGGGAAAGAAAGGGAGCAUGCACUUGGGUUCCAGCAAACCUCAUCUGGAGGAAGGGUCCACCCAUGGAUCUGCUGUCACUCUAUCUCUUCUGUCUGCCACCUUUGCUACAUCCCAAGAAGACUUUCUGCAUCUUAAUUCUGAAUAUGAAAUGAAUAGGCUUUGUGUUUGUUUUCUCGUCGUUGUCUUUUGAGACUAGGUCACAUGCAACUUAAACUAGCCUUGAACUUCUAAUGUAGCCAAGGAAGAACUUGAACUUCUGAUUCCUGCUUCUACCUUCAAUGCUGGGACUGCAAGUCUAUGCGACUCCAUCUAGCUGCACUGGGUCAUUGGACUCCUGUUUAUCUAGUGAGUGUACCAGUAUCCCUAAUUUCUCCAUCCAUGAACAACACUUGUUUAAGAUUCUUUACCACAUCUGGAGACAAGCCAUGGAACGCUUUACAAAUGAUUUGAUGGCUUAGUUUUGGCUCCCUCAGAGCCAUGCCCCACAUGGAUGGUGCAGCUUCUCAUGGAAUCAUCUAUCGCUCACACUUCAUUUCUCACCAUCCUCAAAUUUUAGGCUCAGGGAAAAUAAUUUUUUUAGAAAGAUCCCAGUUUACAGUAUUCUUCCAUGGCUCUGUGCUUGAUCACACUGACCUUACCUCCUAACACUUACUUUGCCCACCAGCCACCCCUCGGUUGUAGAGCAUCAAAGCCGUGCUCGCACCUUUAAGCGACUUGUUUUUGCUGAGUUACACAGAUAUGCUGUGAACACCCAUUCACAAAGCAGAUGUUGGGUGAUGAACAAGGCAACACAAAUAAAGUAAUUAUCUCAAUUUCUACUGUCUGUUCCCCGGUGUAUUCCCAGCAGCUUACAGAGUCCUUAGUGCAUUGUGGGAACAAAAUUGUAUGGGGGAGAAGUAAGUAUUAGUUAUCAUAAUUAUUAUCUCAACUACACCAAUAGUUGUUAGUUUAUCUGGUUUUUGUUUUCUGUUUUGUAUCAACCCCUGAGGUUGUAAGUCUGUCUAUCACAUAGGCUGUACUAGGCAAUGUUUGAUAAGUGAGCAAUGAGUGAACGAAUGGAUAGGAUUCACCUAGGGCAGAUCUUUCUGUUCAACAAGUGUGAGCACUAAAGUCGUCAUGCAUUUAUUGUUCACUUAGCUCUCCAGUCUCAUGAUUUCCUCACUGA
ensembl:lncRNA